UGGACUCUGCACCUGAGGAAGAAGGCGAAAGUGGAGGAGAGAAGAGGAAGCUCUUUUUCCCUUCAGGAACCGGAUGUGCUUCUCCUCCAGCCUCACUGACUCUGAAGUGAAAUUAUGGUGCUCACCUCCUCAGCCUUCCUCACCACAAAACACCACCUUCCAACAGAAAGAAUCGCUGUCACGGGGUGGAGAAUAAAAAGGAUGAAGAAUGUUGCUAAGAGAAAGCCGCAAGGCUCCUGUAUGGUGUUUCUG